rnacentral:tRNA from 1 species
ACAGUGGUGGUCCAUGGUAGAAUUCUUUCCUUCCAUGUAGGAGAUCUGGGUUUGAUUCCCAGCCAAUGCC